GACGAACGCUGGCGGCGUGCUUAACACAUGCAAGUCAAACGGAAAGGCCUCUUUCGGGGGGUACUCGAGUGGCGAACGGGUGAGUAACACGUGAGUAACCUGCCCUUGACUUUGGGAUAACUUCAGGAAACUGGGGCUAAUACCGGAUAGGAGCUCCUGCUGCAUGGUGGGGGUUGGAAAGUUUCGGCGGUUGGGGAUGGACUCGCGGCUUAUCAGCUUGUUGGUGGGGUAGUGGCUUACCAAGGCUUUGACGGGUAGCCGGCCUGAGAGGGUGACCGGCCACAUUGGGACUGAGAUACGGCCCAGACUCCUACGGGAGGCAGCAGUGGGGAAUAUUGCACAAUGGGUGGAAGCCUGAUGCAGCAACGCCGUGUGCGGGAGGACGGCCUUCGGGUUGUAAACCGCUUUCGCUCAUGACGAAGCUUUGUGUGACGGUAGUGGGUAAAGAAGCACCGGCUAACUACGUG
rnacentral:rRNA from 1 species